GUGAAUGCUAGUAGUUUGUAUUACACAUGCUAGUCGAACGUAAAUUUUUAUUAAUUUAAGUGGCGAACGGGUGAGUAAAACACAAGAAUUUUAUCUUUUGGUUCAGAAUACAAUAAUAUCUAUUAAUUAAAAUAGUGUAAAUAAAAUUCUGAAUAAAUUUAUAAAUUUAUUUUAUAAAAAAAAAUUAUAUUGCCAAAAGGAAAGCUUGUGCAAGAUUAGGUAGUUGGUGAGGUAAAGGCUUACCAAGCCAAAGAUCUUUAGCUGGUAUGAGAGUAUGAUCAGUCACAUUGGGAGUGAGACGAGGCCCAAGUUCCUUCGGGAGGCAGCAGUGGAGAAUAUUGGACAAUGAGCGCAAGCUUGAUCCAGCACUAUACUACGUGAGUGAAGAAGUGUUUUUUGCAUGUAAAACUCUUUUGAUGAGGAAGAUAAUGACGUUACUCAUAGAAUAAGUCCCGACUAACUUCGU
rnacentral:rRNA from 1 species